CCCACACACACCCCCGCCCCCCACCAAGGUAGCCACCUGUCUACCUUGGUCUUUGUGUGUUCACCUAUUCUGGGCUCUUGGUGUAAAUAGAAUCACAUGACUUGUGACUUCUCGGCACAGUGUGUUUGUUCAAGACUCGCCAUGUGGUCGCCCGUGCCAGUGCGUCCCUCUUUCUGUCCGAAUGGUACCCGUGGUUAUCCCUCAUCCCUCCGCGGGCUCUUGGGCUGCUUGCCCUCUUUGGCCAUGAUGAAUAGAGCUACCGUGGACAUUUGUAUACCAGCUUCUGUGUGAAUCUCCUCCUCCAGUUCUUUUGUGUCCACACUCAGGUAUGGAAUUGCUGGGCUCUCUGUUAACAGCUCACUUUUUGGAGUCCUCAACAGUUCCAGGAGGGUGUUGCAUGUUUCCUCUUUAACUGGGGUCACUUCUGUCCUUCACUCUCCUUUCAACCUGCAGAGGAGAGGCACCCUGGGCUCUAGUGACAUUGAGGGUGUUAGUGUGUGGACCUCCCCCGUCCCCGCCAAGUACUGGGGAAGAAGGGCUUGAUUGGUGGCUUUGCCAGACGUGUGACUGUCGGUAGUGAACUGACCUGCACGUUCUCAGGGCCUUUUCAAGAUGAGCCCCUUUCUGCCCUCCGUUUCCCCCAGCCUACAUGUGGGAAAGGUAAAGAAAUGUGUUGUUCUCCUCUCCGGGUGGUUACAGAGUUUGUGAUCUCUUUCGAAGGGCUUAUUCUGGGGCUUAUUCCCCAGGGGGGACAGAGCAUUUGGGAUAGGAGGAUGCCCCGGCUGUGCCCCAGGGGAGGGGGAUUAGAACAGCAUGAGGCCACACCCAGACCUCCCAACUGUGGACCCCAAGCGGGCUGCUUCUCUCCCUACCCUAGGGAUGAUCCUGCAUCUCUCCUCAUCAGGUUGGUUGGGGAAGACUCAUCUUAACAUCCACAGUAGUGGGCAGGCUGGAAAGAGCGAGCCAGGGUAACAGGGUGGUGGCAGGGGACACAGUGGCCAGCAUCAUACUUCCUGUGUCCAAGUCUCCAGGGCUGCCUAGCAGUGGGACCUGUGGGUGAGCGCGUGCACCUUCUGGAGGGGCCAGGAGGGUCUGAGUGAGGUCCGGUUUCCUCUGCACCUGGUGAGAAGACUGUCCCCUCUAACAGUUUCUCCAGAGCGGUCCUUCAAAGUGCUCACAGCAUUCUUAUUCUUCUUCCCUGAAUAGUUCUCCUCUCUUCAAACUGCAGGGAAUAUAAUCAGAAGAGUUUCGCUGGUCCCCACCCAUUGGGUUCUCAAUUUGAGCCGCUGCCAGCUUGAUUUAUUGCAGGAAGCCUGCACGGUCUUCUUCGUUAUCCUGUAGACUUGAAUUUAUCUGAGCGUCCACUGUGAUGCUCAGAAUCAAUCUCUCUCCCCCCCCCCUCUCUCAUUUAUUUUGUUUUGUUUUCUGCUUCUAAUUACACACUCUGGAUUGAUGAUUCCUCGUGUUCUUUAUAGAAAUAAUGUCUUCAUGUUCCCCUUUUGACUGGCCGCCCACUGUUGGCCCUCCCCAGAUCACAUGGGGGGGGGAGAUAUUCUUGAAGGAAGGGGACAGUAUAGGGUGCUGACAUCAGAGGCUGGGCAGAGGGAAAUGACGCCCGACCCCACCGUAUGCUGAGUAGAAAGAACUUGUCACCUCCCCCAAAGCCACCUCACAUUCCUUUGGGGUGAAAUGUGGGGGUAGGAGGGUGUCCUCUCCACAUGUGUUAUGGUUUAGAUGUGGGGUCCCCCAAAAGCUCACGUGUGAGAUGACGCAAGGGGGUUCAGUGGAGAAAUGAUAGGGUCACAGCCUUGACCCAAUCAGUGAAUCCAUUCCUGAUGGGAUUAACUGGGUGGUCACUGGAGGUAGGUGGGGUGUGGCUGGAGGAGGUGGUUCACUGGGGACGUGGCUUUGGGGUACAUAGUUGUAAUCUGGAGAGUGGGGUCCCUCUGCUUUCUGAUCAAUAUGUGAGCCGCUUCCCUCCACCACACUCUUCUGCCAUGAUGUUCAGCCUUACCUUGAGCCCCGAGGAAUGGAGCCGGCCUUCCAUGGACUGAGUCCUCUGAAACCGUGAGCCCUAAAUAAACCUUUCCUCCUCUACAGUUUUUCUAGUUGGCCCUUUAGUCACAGGAGCGAGAAAAGCUGGCUAAAAUAACAUGGGUACCCUGAGUCACUGCGGUCUCCACCACCGACAGCCAGUGUGACCUGGUCCUCUCUGAAUCUCAGCUCCGAGUGAAUAGAAGCUGAGCCCCAGCUUCGUCUGGAUGGGGGCCUGCCGAGUGUCCAAGCAGUUCCAAGAACAGCAGAACACUAAAUAUGAACCCGUGGCUGCAUUAGGAUAAUGAUCAUCAUUAUUACCCCUAAAAGCGGGAUAAUCGCUGUGACCCACUUCGGGGGACCUGUUGUAACUAAUGCCCUUGGAGAGCUGUGCCAAUAGCAAGUGCAGGGUAGGCAGAGGCCAUGGGCUCUGGCUGAAGUGAUCCCUGCCUCUGCGAGUGUCACCCACUUGUCCUUCACUUUGGUCACAAGCCUAGGGAGCAUUUUUUUGGAAAUGCUCAACCUUGGCUCAUGUGGGCCUCUGCUCUGAGCUUGCCAGGGGGUCAGUAGCAGAAACUGCUCGCCCUGCUUGAAGGAAACAGGGGAAGCUAUUAGGAUACGUGGGACUUCGUGGUUCUGAAUAUAAGGGCGAGAAGGAGGCCAGACUUCUGAAAUGGAAACACUUUUCUCCCCCCUGAUGCUGGGGAUGGAGCUCAGGAUUUGGUGCAUGCUUGGCAAGCCACAGACCCAGCCCAUCAGCAGCAAAAUUUACCUUCCCAUUUGUUUCCCUUCUUUACAAAGAAAUGCACUCCAGCGGUGGCCCCUGUGCACCCCUCCAGCCCCACCCGCGUCCCUCUGGACCACUCCUGAUUCUGGCACUGGCCAGUCCUGCGGACACGUCCACACUUGACCACUUCACACGCCACGACCCCGCGUGUCGUCCUGAGGACGAUCUCCCACGUGCUGCCCAGCACGGUCUAACCUUGCUCUACCCCGUGUUCCUCUGGGGACCUCUUUGUGUGGAUCAAGGCACCGGGGCCUGUUCACUGCCGUCCGUCCGGGAUUCAGGGAAAUUCCUGCUCCACCGUGUAUCCAGGCUCCCGCUGAUGGGCACCAGCAGGCCCUGAAGGUUUCUCUGUGUCAUGGUUAGGGUCUUCAGUGAUCCCAAAGGCACGUGUGCCAAAUGCUUGGUCAUUGGGCCAUUGGUCAGUGUAGAACUGUCAGGAGGAGAAGCCUAGUGGAAAGACAGGCUACUGGGGUGCGUCCCUUGAGGGGCUCCUGGACCCUGCCCCUUCUUGGUGAUCGCUCAGCUUCCCGACUGCCCUGAGAGGAGAAACCUGCCCCCCACUGAGUUGUUGCCCCAAAGCAGCAGACAACCAACCACACCUGAAACCCUCUCCUCCUCUCCAGCUGUUAUCUCAAGUACUCUUCCCAGCGACAGAGGCCUGACGAACCCACCCACUGCCGGACCUGUGUUGGUUUUAGCUCCCCCCAAAGUAGAGCUGAGACCAGGGCUUGGGGUAUUUUGGGGGUGCUCUCUGUCAGCAGGAGGAGGACAUACUGCUCUGUGCUACAUCACCCCAUGACCUGGCAGAUCAGAGAAAAGGCUGCCUCACAUCACUCCUUGAAGUCGCCUGGAGUCAGGAAUCCAGGGUGGGCUGCUUGGUGGGGAGCAGUGUCAUCUGAAGACUCGCCCGGGGGCAGGGGUUGGCAGGAGGCCUCAGAUCCUCUCCACAGAGAUGCUUGAUGGCCUCCAAGCCCAGCCGCUGGCUUCCCCCAGGGCGAGAGAUCCACCAGAUGGAGGAAGAAUUGGUUUCAGGAAUCUCCAACUGUCACCUCCGCCUCAUUCCCCUGGAUGAACAGACGGGCCUGGAUGCAGCAUUGGGGGGGGGUUCCACAGGAAGUGAGGCCCCCCUGGAGUCGUCUUGGAAGCUGGCCACUGUGGCUAGAGAAGAGCCAGGAAGCACCUGAGGGGACCUCAUGGAGUUGGUCACUGUUCUAGGUACCUGCAGCUCAACCCCACCAAGGGUGCUGUGAAGAACUACCAAGAAUACGUGGGACAGAGUUCAGGGGCUCUUUACAGACUAUCAUUCUCAGGAGCUGAGAUAACCUCCUCUACAAAUCCUGAGAGAAGUGGAGGGACCCUGCAAGGCCAAGUCGGGACACUCUCAGUGUGCAGAGUAGCCCCAAAUCAAGGCCAGGCUGAGGAGGUGUGCACAAAAGACCUCUGUCUCACAACAUGGCUGCGAGAAACAUUCCCUUGCAGGCAUCUGUCCGUGAGUCAACAUGGUUACGCGCCGUGGACAGCUGCUAAAAUGGCUCCUGGUAUUCACAUUCUCUGCUCAAUCGCUCACCUGGUAGGUAGACCAGGUCUAGUGACUCUUCUAGAGAAUAGAAGUGGUGGGAGGUCUCUCCUGAGACUAGGCUAGGAAAGACGGUGAUCUCUUGGGAGAGACCCCCCAAGCCAGAGCCCCCAGUAAGUGGGACCUGGACUCCUGAUCCACAGAUUCUGUUGUUUUGCUAAACUGCUCCAUUUAAGAGUAAUUUUAUAAACACUCAAUAGCCCAAGAAGUGGGUGAAGGUACACAUGGAGCAACAUCGAUCAUGGGUCAGCAACUGUUGCGACAGGGUGACGGGUUAUACUGUGUUGCCA
rnacentral:lncRNA from 1 species